UCCGGUUUAUCACCGGCAGUCCCUGCAGAGUCCCCGGCGAGGAUUGCUCCUCCCGCUGGCAACAGCAGGCAAGGGUUGCGCUCGUUGCGGGACUUAACCCAACAUCUCACGACACGAGCUGACGACAACCAUGCGCCACCUGUGCACGGCCCUUACGGACCCCACAUCUCUGCAGGAUUUCCGUGCAUGUCAAGCCUAGGUAAGGUUCUUCGCGUUGCAUCGAAUUAAGCAACAUGCUCCGCUGCUUGUGCGGGCCCCCGUCAAUUCCUUUGAGUUUUAGCCUUGCGGCCGUACUCCCCAGGCGGGGCACUUAAUGCGUUAGCUGCGGCACGGAAACCGUCGAUAGGUCCCCACACCUAGUGCCCAACGUUUACGGCGUGGACUAC
rnacentral:misc_RNA from 1 species